UACCAGCACCCCGAGUGGUCGGGACGAUUAUUGGGCCUAAAGCAUCCGUAGCCGGUUCUACAAGUCUUCCGUUAAAUCCACCUGCUUAACAGAUGGGCUGCGGAGGAUACUAUAGAGCUAGGAGGCGGGAGAGGCAAGCGGUACUCAGUGGGUAGGGGUAAAAUCCGUUGAUCCAUUGAAGACCACCAGUGGCGAAGGCGGCUUGCCAGAACGCGCUCGACGGUGAGGGAUGAAAGCUGGGGGAGCAAACCGG
rnacentral:rRNA from 1 species